AUUGAACGCUGGCGGCAUGCUUUACACAUGCAAGUCGAACGGUAACAGGCCGCAAGGUGCUGACGAGUGGCGAACGGGUGAGUAAUGCAUCGGAACGUGCCCAGUCGUGGGGGAUAACUGCUCGAAAGAGCAGCUAAUACCGCAUACGAUCUAUGGAUGAAAGCGGGGGACCGUAAGGCCUCGCGCGAUUGGAGCGGCCGAUGUCAGAUUAGGUAGUUGGUGGGGUAAAGGCUCACCAAGCCAACGAUCUGUAGCUGGUCUGAGAGGACGACCAGCCACACUGGGACUGAGACACGGCCCAGACUCCUACGGGAAGCAGCAGUAGGGAAUUUUGGACAAUGGGGGCAACCCUGAUCCAGCAAUGCCGCGUGCAGGAAGAAGGCCUUCGGGUUGUAAACUGCUUUUGUACGGAACGAAACGGUCUGGGUUAAUACCCUGGGCUAAUGACGGUACCGUAAGAAUAAGCACCGGCUAACUACGUGCCAGCCGCCGCCGUAAAAC
rnacentral:rRNA from 1 species